AAAUGGAUUUUCCUAAGAUUAGCCAUGCAUGUCUAAGUAUAAGCAAUCUAUACGGUGAAACUGCGAAUGGCUCAUUAAAUCAGUUAUCGUUUAUUUGAUAGUACCUUGCUACAUGGAUACCUGUGGUAAUUCUAGAGCUAAUACAUGCUGAAAACCUCGACUUCGGAAGGGGUGUAUUUAUUAGAUAAAAAACCAAUGCCCUUCGGGGCUCCUUGGUGAUUCAUAAUAACUUAACGAAUCGCAUGGCCUUGCGCCGGCGAUGGUUCAUUCAAAUUUCUGCCCUAUCAACUUUCGAUGGUAGGAUAGUGGCCUACCAUGGUGGCAACGGGUAACGGGGAAAUUAGGGUUUCAAUUCCGGAAGAGGGAAGCCCUGGAAAAAA
rnacentral:rRNA from 1 species